CUACGGGAGGCAGCAGUGGGGAAUUUUGGACAAUGGACGCAAGUCUGAUCCAGCCAUUCCGCGUGCAGGACGAAGGCCUUCGGGUUGUAAACUGCUUUUGUACGGAACGAAAAAGCUCUUACUAAUACUAGGAGUCCAUGACGGUACCGUAAGAAUAAGCACCGGCUAACUACGUGCCAGCAGCCGCGGGUAAUACGUAGGGUGCAAGCGUUAAUCGGAAUUACUGGGCGUAAAGCGUGCGCAGACGGUUAUAUAAGACAGAUGUGAAAUCCCCGGGCUCAACCUGGGAACUGCAUUUGUGACUGUAUAGCUAGAGUACGGCAGAGGGGGAUGGAAUUCCGCGUGUAGCAGUGAAAUGCGUAGAUAUGCGGAGGAACACCGAUGGCGAAGGCAAUCCCCUGGGCCUGUACUGACGCUCAUGCACGAAAGCGUGGGGAGCAAACAGGAUUAGAUACCCGAGUAGUC
rnacentral:rRNA from 1 species